AUUGAACGCUGGCGGCAGGCCUAACACAUGCAAGUCGAGCGGAUGAAGGGAGCUUGCUCCUGGAUUCAGCGGCGGACGGGUGAGUAAUGCCUAGGAAUCUGCCUGGUAGUGGGGGAUAACGUCCGGAAACGGGCGCUAAUACCGCAUACGUCCUGAGGGAGAAAGUGGGGGAUCUUCGGACCUCACGCUAUCAGAUGAGCCUAGGUCGGAUUAGCUAGUUGGUGGGGUAAAGGCCUACCAAGGCGACGAUCCGUAACUGGUCUGAGAGGAUGAUCAGUCACACUGGAACUGAGACACGGUCCAGACUCCUACGGGAGGCAGCAGUGGGGAAUAUUGGACAAUGGGCGAAAGCCUGACCCAGCCAUGCCGCGUGUGUGAAGAAGGUCUUCGGAUUGUAAAGCACUUUAAGUUGGGAGGAAGGGCAGUAAGUUAAUACCUUGCUGUUUUGACGUUACCAACAGAAUAAGCACCGGCUAACUUCGCG
rnacentral:rRNA from 1 species